AUGUCAAAUCAUCAUGCCCCUUAUGUCUUGGGCUACACACGUGCUACAAUGGCCCUUACAGCGUGAAGCGAAGCAGCGAUGCGGAGCGGAUCAAGAAAAAGGGCCCCAGUUCGGAUUGCAGGCUGCAACUCGCCUGCAUGAAGUUGGAAUCGCUAGUAAUCGCGGAUCAGCAUGCCGCGGUGAAUACGUUCCCGGGCCUU
rnacentral:rRNA from 1 species